UUAGUAGUAUCGAAUUGGUGAGACAAGAAACCUUCCUGAUACAAUUCAUUUCUCUCGUCAAAAGGAUGUUGAGGUUUUAGAAGCUGAGUUAAGUGAUGGUGCGGUUCAAAACAUGGUUAAUUACCUUGCUGUGCUUGGGGGUAAAAAUACUAGUGAAACAGUGUGAAGAAUACUAUGCCAUGUCCUGACCAGCAAAUUAAGCAAGUUAUAUGACUGGUAUGGCAAAAAAGACAAACUUUCAUUUGGCCAGUUGAAACUUUCAUCAGUGAUUCACAGGGCUGUUCGCAAGACUAUGAAAAAUGCAACAGAAGCAGAGGUUGAGUUGGUGACUCGAAAAUGGACUGCCAGUGACAGAAAUGGUGGCUGAAGGAGAAGAGAAAUAAAUUUGGACAUGACAGCUCUUGACAAUGAAUCUGCCACAGAUCUUGGGUCUGCACAAAUUGAAAAUUAAGAUAACCCAUUUACAGGUUACCUCAAUUUUCUAAGGUAAUCUAUUUUAGCAAUGCACUGGUAACAAUAAGCUGAAUAACUUUGCAUACAAUGGUUUUGUCUUCCAUUCAAAUUACUUAUUCACUGGGUUAGUAUGUAAUACUCCUAUCUGUGGUUUCAAAUACAAUUUUAUUGAUGAUAUCUUUUCACAUUUAAUGUGUUUUUCCAAUCUCUGCACAUUUUAAAUAUAUUUAUUUUUAACAAAUCUCCCAAAUUUUAAGUCAUAAAAUUGAACCCUAAAAUGAAUACCAUUACUCCUUAUUUACCAGUUUUUAAGUGCAGAUAUGAAUGAUAGUUGAACUUUGUCACAAAUAGGCACAGCUGUAUAAGUGACCUAAAUAUCAAGUAAAUGAAUAUCUUAGUUUUGCAGUGUAUAUUGGCCAGUAUAUUUUGUCUUCAUUUUUAUUAACUUUUAAAUGUUGUAAUUUACUUUCAUUGUGUUGUA
rnacentral:lncRNA from 1 species